ACAGACUUUAUAAAACAAUCACUGCUUGAUGCUUAAACAUCACUUUAUGGUAUUUCCACUGAUAUUCCAUGUGAUGAUAAUAAAUCACGAUUGUACUUUACUUACUUGUACUUUACUUUACAAUGUUCUUGCAUUGACUGCAUACUUUUCUUAAUUUUUUUUUUGUUGUUGUUCCUUUGGAUUGCACAUGGAAUAAAAAAAGGAGAGAAAUAACUUGAAGAACAUAACCAAAAUAGAAGCAGCAAAAUUACAGUGGUGCUUAGCAGCAGACAAACUUUUCAACACAAUUUUAUUUCAAUUUGUCAGUAUUACUUUAUUCAAGUGCAGCUUUAAAUAUAAACUUGUAGGAAAUGAGAAAGAAUGACUCUAAUGCCCAAAUGCCUCUGGGGAGUACACAUGCGUUGAAUAAAGUGUUUCGUUUUUUUUUUUUUUUUCUUUUGUUUUGUUUUGUUUCUUCUGAUUUUCCAUUUCUGUAGACAUAGCUUGUUUACAACAGCUAAUUUGAGAAAGAAUAUUCUGAACUAGGGAGGGAGAUUGAGAUAGGUAGGUUUUUUUCUUUUUCUUUUUCUUUUUUUUUUUUUUUUACUAAUGAGGUACUCAGGAUCUAUAAAGAAUCCCAGUUCAGCUGACAAUGUUUCACCUGGACCUAACUCCUACAUACUCAGAUGGUGAGUCUUAAGAGCGGGGAAAAUGCCAUCUGGUGAUUCAAAACAAUACAAAACUGAUGGAAUCAAGUUUGUGCGGAUGACAGAUGGAAAUGACCAUCAUCUGAAAUAAAAUUGCCAUAUGUGAUUCAUGGUCCUGAAGAUUCCGAAAACUCUAGCAAAACACUCAACUAUCUUCAUUAUCAUGUUUCUCUUUAAAAUUCUGUACAUUCAUUAUACUGCAACAAAUUACUAUUGCAGGUUUAGCAACAGUGAAUCAUCAUAGAUGCUUUCCCUUGAUCGUAAAAGUGUCAGUGUAUGUGAUGUACACUGCUACAAAAGCUAGGAACCAUACAUAUCACAAUUAAAUAAGGUAUGAGAAUUAUAAACUGUAAUUUCAUCUAUACUUGUGGUUUUAUAUUACACUUUGAACUCUGAUAUGAGGAUUGUGAUUUGCAUGGAUAUUACAUAAUAUAUGUGUAAAACUAGCAAGAAUGUCUGGUAUAUGAAGAAACUAGAGCAGCAAUAAUAGGUUAGAAUAAUAAUUCUAACUAUUUAAGUAGUAAUAACAGUGAGGUGGCUAGUAAGCUGAUAGUGGGUAAAUUGUGGGCCUUGAAGUGUAGAAAGAUCAAAACAAAGAGAAAGGGUGCACUGUGACUCUGAAGAGAAAGAAAAGAGGUAAAAAUGGAAAAAUGUUGUUCCAUAAAUUAAGUUCUUAUUUGGAGUAAAACUAUUUGAGCGAUGUUCUGGUUUGUGAUAUGAGAGAUUAAGCAGCAAAGGGAGUAAGGUAAACUUAACUGUAGCUCACUGCAUUUGUUUAAAGACUCCCAUCUGUAAACAUUUAGUCUGAAUGUUGAUUUUAUUCAUAUUCAGUUGUUUCUUAUAGAGCACAUAUUGUGACAUUGUGGAUUUUUUUAUCAGGACUCCUGAUGAAAAUGUGUAAUAAUAUGUGUAAGCAUUCACUAAAAUUGCUCCUUUAGUUCUAAAACUUAAAUAUUUCUUCAUAAAUGCUGUAAAACAUACAUCUCUGGCAGAUUCCCUUUGAAAUCCGUAGGCAUUUCCAAGAACCAAAAGGGUCAGGCUGUAUAUAUGUUUGUGUAAAAUGAUUCUUCACUAAUAAAUGAAUAAAUAAUGCAGAAAUAACAUGUAAUGACUAGUAUGCAAUGUUUUCUAAUUUUUGAUUUGUAUGUUUAAAAAUAAUUUAGUACAGAGUUGCGUUUAUAUAUUGCUGUUGAUAAAGAUAUUUUUUACUUGAAAGUCAUUUUAAAAGAGGAAAAAGCAUAAAGAAAAGAAUGUCCCACUGAACACUUGUGGAUCUGUAUGUGCUCAUACAAGUGUCUUUUGCAUAAAAUUUCUAAACAUCUACCAAAUGUGAGCUCAAGGUGUCUUGUCAUACACUGUGAAGUUAUAAUACUUUUUGUACAAAGACUCAGCGCCACAGACAGUAAUGCAACAAAGCAAUAUUUCUCAACCAAAUCCUGUUUUGCAAUCCCUUUUGACUUGCUUGUUACAUGUUAUGUAUUCUGAUCUUCUCCAUUAGUAUAUAUCCGUGUCUGGUAAUUUAAACCUUGGUGUAAUUCUGUCUUUACAGAGGAUUACUGUACUCUAAUAUUGUUUGUAUGACAUGUAUAGGUAACCUCAUCCAUAAUAUACAGUAUCUACAUUUUAAGGCAAUAAGACAAGGUGGUGAUUCUUUAAAUUGACGUGCAAUCACUGGUUGGGUCAGAGUGAGUUUCCAUGGAAUGAAAACCCUACAGUUCACCUUGAUAAUGAGAACAGGCAUAGAUGUUUAAUUUAUUCAUUUCUUUUCGCUUGGAGGGUCAGAAUGAACUGGUAUCUUCAUUUCUGCUUCUAUAAGUUUUCAAAUGAGUUUCGCUUUUUGGUUUUCAAAUAAUAUUUAAUUUGAAGUAUCAAAAGAACAAAAUUAAACCCUAGGUGUCUAUACAAAGUUGAGAAUGAAUAAAAGAUAAAUUCUGUUCAUUGUAAAUUUCAAUAACAACAGUCUAAUUUGAAUGCAGCUUAACUAUUUCAGAAGUCAGUUGACGGUCAAAGCCAAUAUUACUAUGAAGUCUGAAGUGAAAGCAAUCAUCCUUUUGGUAACUGGGACAGAUGAUGACCUUUCUGCAUUCCUUGUGAUUAGAAGAGCAAAGAACUUUUUCCUUAAAGUAAAGAAAUCAUAAACCAGAUGUAUCGAGUUCUGUUCAUAGAAUGGGAAAAUUCUAUGGUAUGCUUUCACCUUGUCUUAAACCAAAAGGCAUUUCAAGAACUGACUGAUGAAUUUCCAGCACAAACAACAGAUCUAAACUUUGACUGACUGGAGUAUUUAAGAAGUGAAUAGGGAAUUUAGGAAGUGAUUUGAAUACUAGGACUCAGUGAUCAUUUAAAGCUGGGUCCUCUUUGGAAGACCAAUGCUGCAGUAGUAUUCCCUGUGGACAGCAUGUGCUGCAACAGGAGCUGUACCAACCUGUGAGAUGAAACAGCACAUCCCCAUCUGUUGCUGGCCAGCUGUCCUGUGCAUCCCCCUCCUUUUCCUGAGAUCAGCCUGACAGCAGUACUUAUGCUCUCAAGCUAUCAUGCAGUUGAGCUGCAAACUGGAUACAAAAAGGGAAAGAUGUUCUUCUUAGCAGUCAUUUGUCCAGAAAUCAGUGUCUGGGUGUGUUGGGCUUUCUAGCUCUUGUCCAGAAAGAAUAAUUAGCUUGUGUUUGAGCCCCUCAACAGCUGAAGAGUCUUUUCCUUGAGGCAAGAAUAUAGCAAGAAUACAGCCUUUGUUGGAAGAGAUAAUGACAUUGUUUAUUGAGGAUUUUUAUAGGGAAUAUUGUCUGAAGAAAUGAGUAUUUUCCUGGUAACCACCAUUUCACAGUGCUUAGUAGCAAACUAUUUUAGAUUUAGUUAAAUUUGCCAUUGCCUACUCUUAAGAAAUUUUUUAUCACUUAGCCUCCAAAGAAUAACUCCUGCAUUUGAUAAUAAUAAUUACUCUGUUUUUCAAAAUAGUUAAUUUUUGCAGCAUGUUCAGGAAAUACUUAAACCACUGACAGUGGCUGCAAAAUAUGGCAGUCCACAAGGUGUCCUCUGAAAUCUAGAUCUGUGGGAGAAGGAUUAAAAGCUUAAAACCCACCUCUUUAGUGCCUGUCUUAAGAGAAAGGAAUACUGGCAUGGCUGCAAGCCAAUUUGAGAAAUGAGACUUUUUUUUUCCCUUAUUUUUUCUACUUUCCAGAUGAAGUUCAAAGUGCAUUGUAGGCAAGUACACUCUUUCUGGAUUUGCAUUGAAAAGUUGCAUCAUUAAACAAAAAAAGAAACUUUAUCCUUUAGAUGCACAGAAAAGGAAGAAUUAAAAUGUUGUAGGAAAUUCUUACAACUUAUCUUCUGAAACAAACUAUUGUUAAUUUUUGUGUAAUUACUUUUUCCCUUGAAACCUUCUCAGAGGAGCAGGACUAGUCAGUAAUUAGUAAGUAGUAUGUUAUUAUUUUAAAUACAUGCAGAGGUCAUUAAGAGAAAUCCUCUUUAGAAAUCCUAUUUAAGGGCUAGUUUCACUGGUCUGACAACAUGUUUUAUAGUCUCUGUCCCUUGCAAGAACAUGAAAGCUGACAAAGAACGACAAAGCUCACAUUCGAUGUCAAAUUAAUGUCCCAAUCAGCUCAAUAUACCAUUCCCAAAAGAAGUUGGCUGGAUAUGUGUAGUCUGUAAAAAAAAAAAACAGGGAACAUCUAUUAUGGUUUGAUGUCCGUCAUGUCCUGUGACAAGGAGCUCCCCUUUGUGAAAUUGAGAAGUGUUUGCAUGAAGUGUUGUGUCAUUUUUCUGUUCUCUUCCACUGCUGUCACAUUCAUUAAAGCUGAAACUCUUGCUCUUAUUGACAGUAAACUUCAGGUAUUUAUGAAAAAAGAAAAUAUAUUUGAUAAUAUAUUGUGAAUAUUUUUGGCUUAGUCUUUUUGUUUGUUUUGCAGCCUGCACUUCCUUGGGAAUGAAGACCUGGGGAAAUGCUGGUGCAGCCUGGGUAGUCAGUGUGCUACUGGAAGGGAACCUGUCCUGGUAGGAUGCACAGAGCAGCAAGUGCUCCCAGGAAAACAGUUAGGAGGUUUAUCACACAUAUGCCUAUGCUGUUGGCUGGCACAUGUCUGAAGACAUCUGAGUUAGGGCUCAAGAAGGAAAACUUAAACUACAUUUCAAAUGGCAGGUUGAUGCAAAUUCAUCUUGAGGUCAUUGUAGCAGGAAGGCAGUUCCUAGCUCAAGUGAUCUGCAUUGCUGGUGUGUGAGGUGGAGGGGAGACAGAAGAGCAAAAAUUGAAUAGUUCCUCUGUGGGGAUGAAAGUCUCUUUGACGUACUUUGGUUUUCUCCCUUCAUGCAGUGGGAACUGUGGCAGUCAAGAAGUGAAUGUGAGACCUUGAGACAUGCAAUAGAAAGGUGAAGGACUAAGGAGGUAAUGGAGAUAAUAUGAUUUAGGGGACAGCUGACUGAACAAAAUUGAGAAGACUCCACGAGUGACAGCUAGAAAACCCUUUAGUUUGUUGGGUUUUGGAUUAGGACAAUUGAGAUAGGGUUAUAAGAAGGUGAAUCAGCAUGGUGACCUGAGAUUAGCUACUCAAGUGCAGAAGUUAAACUGUGAAACGGAAAGCCGUUUCCCCAAAUAGUUUUAUAACAACUAUUCAAUUUGAGAGUUGGCAUCAUUAACAUUUGAAAAGAUCUGUUUGAAUGAGGGCAAAAUUACACCCUCUGCAAAUCAGAAGACAAAGGAAGAAGCAAUUUUUCCUUUUAUGCACCUUCAUCCUCACAAAACAGGCACUUCAAAAAUAUAUUGAAUAGUGAAAUAAAGAAAGGUGGAAGAAGGAGAAUAAAUUCUGCUUAGUGACAAACCAAGAAUUGAUUAAAAAAAAAAAAAGUGUUUUAAUCAAGUCUGACACUAUGAACACUUUAACUUAUAUCAUGUGUAGACCAUCACUGUCCUAAAGUGACCAGCAAAAUGAAAAAAAAAAAAAUACAUUUAAGUGCCUUAGAGUGUUUGUUUACAUAUCUUAGGUGACUUGGGUUAUCUAUCUAUCUGUCUAUCUAGCUAUCUAUCUGUCUGUUUAGUAAGAUGGGAUUUUCAGAGUUUAUGAACUGACUUUUAAGUUCAUUACAAUUCAUAAAAUUACUGUUCUGUCCUGAUCUUAAAUUCAAAAUGACUUAUUUUUUAACUGGGAAAUAGGAAAAGAUGUAGAAAGGAAGGCAAUUCUGUAGAUUAGGAAUUUUUCUAUUAGCAAUGAACUCACUUCACAUGUUAUUAGGAAACUCAUUUAUAGCAAUAAGUAUGAAACGCACCAUUGAAGCAAACCUUAAUGUUCUUUGUUUAGUAAUCCAUCUCUGACUCACAAGGAAGACUUAGUACAAUGUAUGAAAAUAUUGAAGAGUUAAUUACUGUCUAUUGAAAAGCCUUGUGGGAUGCAUUUCAUCCUUCACAGAAGACACAUUGUUUUCUGUCCCACAGUAAGUACUUUAUGUGUUCAAAAUGAUCCCAUGGUAUUCAUUUCUGACUUGGCAAAAAGGAUUUAGAAUUAGAUCAACAGUGUGUAGUAACAUCUGACUGCAUAGUGCAGCUGAAUUACUCGUGUGAUAGCAGUAAGAAAAGAAAAUGGCAAGCAAAUAUACAUGAUUUUAGGCUCAGAGGCCCAGUAUUCAUGUGCAACACUGGUUAAACAGACUGACAAAGCAGAGGCAGUCUAAGAUGUGUUAAUACAGGGAAAAUAUAAUUAGAUCCAAAGUAAAAGUUACUAUAACUCAAGCAGCAGAUCUAAACAAUAAAAUUGUGCUAGGCCUGUGUGUAAUCAAAUCAUACUGUAAGACUGGUGAUUUGCUGAGUACUGUACUGUUGAACUGAAAGUAUUGAAAAGAAAUUACAGAAGCAAACUCUUAAAAGCCAGAUGUAUUAUGCAUUAUCACAAUUAAAUACAUCAAUUACAAAAAAGGGACUUUAUUGGUUAUUGCAGUUCACCUAUCAGCAGAGUAACAGCAUUGAAUCUAAAGACUGAAGUGUAACAACUGAUAUCUGUUCUUCACUUCAGACUGAGAGGUGGCUGAAGGGCAAGUUAACCUCAAGGUCGUUUAUGCUUGAAUUUCCAUGUCUCGCAGGGGAGACGUUCUUUAGCUAAAUAUAAAUUCCUCAUCUCUCCUUCCUUGCUAACUGUAAGAGUGCACAAGUUGAAUUUUUUUCUUGUCUGUGAAUACUGAAGAAGACCAAUUAAUUUUCUUUUCUCUCAUGUAUUCAUUCAUUCAUCCCUCUGUUUUCCCCAUCCCCUUCCUCCCCUUUCAUCUACAUCCAAGAUACUCCUGAAGCUUUGUAGCAUCCCUUACUUUUAAAAAAGAAACUCAGGAUGGCAAUGAUUUUGAGAUUCUAAACAUUGAUGAUGAUAUCUUCCCAAAGUCUUUAUCUGUAGUAAUUUUUUUGACUUUGUUAUGAUUUUUAGUUCUUUAGCCCCAAAUUCGUCAUGAUGAAAUGACAAUGCAGCUAGUGUAAGAUCUGCCAGUUUAUUUUGUCUAGUUAUCUGUAUAUCAUCUGGGGCCUUCUUUCUAUGCAUUGGUAUUAGAGAAAGAAGGAGUACUUCCAGUGUUUCCUCAUUUCUUAUGAAGAUAAUGUCUGAACUUGUUUCCAGAGCAUGGGUUUCUUUGUGAGUAUUACAUGUGUAGCGAAGAUAAAACAGGGUUUUUUCUGAACUUGUGGCAUGAGUCAUAUGUGCCUAGCUACACAUUUUUGGCAACUUCCUGAUCUUUUCUUCCACUGCACUGUAUAAAUGGUACAAAUGUGAUUCUGCCAACUCAGAACUGAAAAGAUUUAUCCAACAUUAGAAAUACUGGAUUUCCAGAAGUCAUGUCACCACAGAAACAAUUCCUGAGAGGAGAAAUCUUACAUCAUUACAGAUUACAAAAAUUGCUUUGCAUUAUUUUAAUGUUGCUCCAAAAUUUACACAUUUCCUUUAUUUCUUUUAAAUGCUGAAUUUUAUCUGUUAAAUUCCUAUGCUUUUUCUUUUCUUCACCUUGAUUUCUUCUCCUUCUUCACGUUUAUAUUAGUAACCAGAAGUACCCUAUUUAUUUAAACACGCACCAUGAUAAAAUCCAACUUUAUUUCACAGACAUUUCAAAGACACAUCCACCUUUUGUUGUUUUGUGAGCUCCUAACAUCUCCGUGAACAGAGAAGCAGCUUUAUUUAUUUCUUAUACGCUGUAAGUGAGGAAGAAGUCUGCUACAAAUAAUAAAUUGAUGCCACUAUGAUAUAACAAUCAAAAAUCAGCAGAUUCUGAUGGCCUAAAUCCUGCUUUACAAAAUUCUCAUUUCAGCAUCUAGUGUCAUCUGCAUAGCUGUAGUACUGAUAAAUAAUCAUUUGUUUGUGAAAUUCAUGUAACUCGCAGACUACCAAAUAGUUUUAGAAGUACUUGAAAUAACAACUACAGUUCCAGCUUCUGUGAAGCAAUCGUUUACCAAGGCUUUCCUCUCAACUUUUGUCAUGUGUGACUUUCACGAGGUUUCUUUUAUUGCCCUGUGCAGUUGCCAUAAUAACAGCAGAUCUGUUGUUAGAAACCUCAAGCUGUAUUUGUUACAGGCAUACCAUGCAAGUAGGAAAAUUGUAUUUACGCUUUGACAUAGUGCAGCAUAACUUGGUUCGUGCAUCUGGAUUCAGCCAGCUGGGGGUGGUUCAGCAAGUUACUCUGUUAGUAUGAAAUUUACUUCCUUAUCAUUUUUGAUGGACCAUUAAUUACUCCUGUCAAAUAGUAGCAGGGGAAUUUGUAGUUUGAGUCCUGAAGAAAUGUAGGAUUCUUUCCAUGAGUCUGUGUAUGGAGUAAAACUGAGAAUGGUUUUGGUUUGCUUGAAUUUUGCUUUUUUCCUUUUGACAUAAUUUCCAGUGCUGGUCAUUGUGCUUUAGUUGCCUUAUGGCUUGUAUUUCAUAAAGUAUUAUAUAUAUAUGUGUGACAUGCUUACAUGGGUUUUGCUAGUUGUGUCAUAUAAAUGUUUCUCUUGGAUAUGAAAUAGUUUGAUCCCAAACUUCAUUUUUGUUAUCGGUAGGAAGUUUCAUAUAUUUCCACAGAAUUAACAUUUCAAUUUUGAAAAAGAAUAACAUUUAUAGUUAUUAUUAUAAUUAUUAUUAUUAUUAUAGUUAUUAUUAUUAUAGUUGAAUUCCUCAUUCUCUUAGUUUAAAUCCCUGGGAAUUUUUCCUUCAGCU
rnacentral:lncRNA from 1 species